CCGAGUUAGGGUCUCAGGCCCGAUCUCCCAACCCUAUGUUUAUUAAACCUCUGUUGCUUCGGCGGGCCCGCCUCCACGGCCGCUGGGGGACCUUUACCGGUCCUCUGGCCAGUGCCUGCCGAUAGCCCCUCUUUAAACUCUGAAUGAAACAUGUCUUAUGUCUAAGUCUACAAUAAAUUAAAGCA
rnacentral:misc_RNA from 1 species